UACAGAGGUCUCAAGCGUUGUUCGGAUUCAUUGGGCGUAAAGGGUGCGUAGGUGGCGCCGUAAGUCAGGUGUGAAAUCCCGGGGCUCAACCCCGGAACUGCACUUGAUACUGCGGUGCUCGAGUACUGGAGAGGAGAUUGGAAUUUACGGUGUAGCAGUGAAAUGCGUAGAUAUCGUAAGGAAGACCAGUGGCGAAGGCGAAUCUCUGGACAGUUACUGACACUGAGGCACGAAGGUCAGGGGAGCAAACGGG
rnacentral:rRNA from 1 species